CGAGGAACCUUUCUGGGCACUAGCCCUCCUCGGCCACUGGCUAUAAAAAAUGGGCAUGAAUCUGGCAGAGGGUGGUGCAUAGCUAUUGUCCGAAUUCACUCAUCUGCAACAGCUGGAGGCCCCAGCAAGAUGGCCACACCAAGUGGACUGGCCUCGCUGUGAUCCCUCCUAUCUGUGGCAGCAAACUAUAGGUGAGGCACCCCCUGAGAUGUUCCAGGGCCCAUAGUCUGACUGCCAACAUGCAAAGGACUGCAGAGAAGCCUGAGAUGCCCUCCACAUUUUCUGGAGCCCAUCUGGUCUGACUGAUCCAGUUUCCAGGAUCUCCUGCCAGCUCACCUGGACCCGGCUGCCUCAAGGAUUCACAAAUGCACCCACCCUGUUUGGUGAGGCCCUCCAGAGGACUUGGUGAGUUUUCAGUCCCACCACCCUAACCUCGCCCUGCUUCCAGGUGUGGAUGAUUUGUUAUUAGCUGUUACCAGCUACUCAGAAUGCUUGCAGGAGGCGCAAGAGCUUCUUCAUUUACUAGAGGGGUUGGGGCCACCGCGUAUCAGCCAAGAAGGCACAACUCUGGGCCCCUGAAGUAUUGUACCUGGGGUGUGAAAUCUCAGAAGGAAGAAGAGCCUUGUCCCAGACCAGGAAAAGGGCCACCCUCCAGAUACACACACCAACUCCCAAGAAACAGGUAUGGGAAUUCCUAGGUGCAGCUGGAUACUGUCGCCUAUGGAUACCUGGGUUUGCUCCUCCAUUCUGCCAUGGGAGGAAAUCAACCCCUAGCUUGAGGAAUAGAUGAAGCCUUCCAGAAUCCAAAAAGAGCUUUGGUAUCAGCUCCAGCUCUGGCACUAUCCGAUGUCACUAAGCCUUUUCAUCUAUUCAUCCAUGAGGUAAGAGGGAUGGCUAAGGGAGUCCUAGUACAGUCCUUGGGACCCUGGAAGUGCACUGUGUCUAAAAGAUUAGACCCCGUGGCCUCAGGAUGGCCUUCAUGUCUUUGGGCAGUAGCUGCCACAGCCUUUUUUGGUCAAGGGGGCUGAUAAGAUGACCCUCUGACAGGACCUAGUCCUAACUGUCCCCCAUGCAGUAGUGACUCUGCUCAGGGGGGCUGCUAACAAAUGGCUGUCAAAUGCCUGCCUCACCCAGCAUCAAAGCCUCUUGCUGACCAGCCUCACAUAGUCUUCUCAGGACAGGUUCUCAAUCUGGCUACACUGAUGCCAAAUGAUGACUCCGACAUCCCAAUUCUCGACUCUGAGGAGGUGCUGGGCCAGACCCAGGUAGGCCGAUCGGACUUAACAGACACCCCCUUGGCUGAGGCAGAUGCCACCCUCUUCACAGAUGGAAGCAGCACACUGGUACAGAACACUGUUCACUCCCAGGUUGGAGCUACUCAGCCCCUGCCCAGCUCUACACCAUGCCACCCAUUCCAGCCUGGGGACACUGUCUUCAUCAAGGCCUUUCAGAGUGAAGGACUGACUCUAGCCUGGAAGGGACCCUACACGGUCAUCCUCACAAUGCCCUCAGCUCUCAAGGUUGACGGAAUCUCAAUGUGGGUUCACCAUUCAUGCAUAAAGCAGGAAAACAGUAGACUGCUGAGCUGGGACCUAGUCCUUUAAAGCUAAGGCUGGUCAGAUCAUGAUUGUGACACUUGUCCUUAUUGUCGUUGGGCUGAUGAGGCUGAACUCUGGGGAGAUGCAAUGAGGAGAGUUGCACUCCCUUUUCUUCACCUCCUUUAGCUCAGGAGAAGUUCUAGGUAAUGUCACUUUUGGUACCAAGCCGGGGUGGGGGUGGGGCAACCUCUCAGGUUGCCUGAGGUCAAUCUCUGUAAAUUAGUCAGAAGAGACUGGGGAAGCUACUACUAUCAGUUCACAAACCUGGGAAGCUGUGACUUUUAUGCAUGUCCAGGUUCAAUCCAUUUGGACAGCAGGGUUGUGGGUCCCCAACUGACUUCUACUGCCCUAACUGGGGCUGUGUGAAGAUCGCCUCCUAUAGUGGGGACCGAAUGUCACUAACGAUCUCAUAGUUUGCAAACACGGGUGCCGAGUCAGGUGAAGUGCUGCUAACAUUUUAAUGUAGGAAACUUUCAGUGGUCUUUAAAUUAUUUUUGCUUAAUGAUCAGGCAAAUCUUCAAUGAGGAAGAAUAACACAAAAAGCAUGUUUGUUUGUUUGAAACCCUUCAUCUCUAAAGAUAAAAAGCCCAUGCCUAUAAAAGUUUGCAUGAAAAGAAGAAUAGUAAAGAAAAUAUGCUCCUGGUGCCAAACAAAGGUUAGAAAUGGAGCACUGUUGAUUCUAACAUGUCACCCCCAUGCCAAAGCCUAUUGCCACCUUAUUGCUGGACUCUGGACAAGUCUGCUGCUAAAUGGGGAGGGUCUAAUAUGUUUUAGCCUUUGUGCCCUUUCUUUAAGAUAAAGUGCUCCACAGGUGGCAGCCAGUGGUGAGGUCAGUGGGUGAGCUGGGGGAGAAGACAUGACUCAGGUGUCCACUUUUUCAGAGACCUCCCUGUGUCCCUCCAUACCCCCAAGCCUGUGCUGCUCAGACUAGAGUUCACAGGAGCCCCUGCCUGCAAGUUGGACUCUUCCUUUUAAAAAAAAUUUGGUGCCACAGUGUAUAUCAUAUAUCAACUAUUGGGCUGAGCUUGGUACUUUUUCACUUUUGACUUUUGAGCAAGAUGUUCUUCAUGAAGCAAACAGACCUCUGAUUUCCAUUCUGGCCUCAGCUCUGCCUCUUCCUGCAUGCCAGGAAUAAAGAGCUGGUCCAAGAACCAGCUCCAGGAGUUCUAGGGUCCAACAGCUCUUGAUUAAAUCAUUCCCCCCUCCUCCCUGGGAGCCCACCUUGAAUCUUCCUCAGUCCAGCAGAAACACUCUCCACCAUGCUACCUUGGAGCAGAAACCUCCUGUCCCUCCUCUGUCCCAGGACCCAGCAGCUAGAGGAAGGGAAUUAGGAGCUUCAGUUGGGAGGAUUCCAGUACUAGUGGCUAAAAUGCCCCUGGUGCCCACUACUUGUGUCCCUGCCGGGGCAGUUGGCCUAUUCCAUGACUGGACAGCUCUGGAUAUUAGAACAUCCUUCCUCUUCCUCACCUAAAUUUGCUCUUCUGUAACUUCUCUCCCUUCUGGAACUUAACUGUCUUAACUCUGGCCUUGAAUAGUACAAGAUUAACUCUUACCUCUCUCCUAAAGACCAGGCUGGCAAGCAUUUGAAGAUGAAAACAUAUAAAGUACAGACUGCUUCUAAAUUGAAAAGAUAUAAUUUAACAGUCAACUUUCUUCUGAUAAAGGAACUGACCACUUUUUAAAUUCAGGAGACUUGUGUACUUGUAGAUUUUAAUUCUGUGUUUUUGCACAUUUCCAAGCCUUUUAUAAUAAAGUACAUCCAAAUCCAAAAGGAAAUCAUGGUGCCUAUAUAAACAUUACAAGAGUGAAGAAAAACAUAGGCCCCCACAGGGGCAGCUCCACUCACUAGUCCCAUUGUUAUCCUUAAGGAAAUAAACCACUUCAUGAUUUGCAGGAGCGUGUGAUCAGAGCAAUGCCAGCCUCCAGGUUCCUUAAAGAAGAUUAUUUGCUUCCUGCCAGAAUAGAACAGAACUCUGAGCCCACACUCCAUGCAAAUAGGAAUUACUCCUGUCCUACUUCCUCAGGCCACAGAGUUAAACACAACAUAUAGAACCUAGUCUUGCCUUCUGUUAUCUUUCCCAAAGUCUUACCCAUCUGCAUGGCAGACAUUUCCUGUUGAUAUGGUGCUUCCCUGAUCAAACCUAGAGAGGUCAUUUCCAUGCCCCAAACCUGGUGCUAUGAAGGAGAGGUAUGCAGGACUGUGUUCAGAUCAGGUAUGAUAGGAUCACUCUGAUACCACAUAGCUGGGAAAGGGCUUUAAAACAGGGCCAUGUACAACCUUAUAAGCCAUACACAGUCUUAUAAAAACAAGCCUGAAUACACGUCACCAUCAUUACCGUCAAUCUUGGCAUUAAAAAAAAAAAAGGAAAAGAAAUUCAGUUGAGACACUGUAGACUUCCUUUAUUUUGCUAAGAAAACUCCCCCAUGAUGGGAAUUUUCUUGUCUGUCCUGUGCAAUAUGGCAGCCACCAGCCAUGUGGAGGUGUUGAACACCUAACAUGUGCCUCGUGAACAGGGGCUCAUUUACACUUAAAUCCAUAUGCCCACAUGUGGUGGUGACUCCCUUAGGGGAUGGUGCUGGGAUAGAUGCAUGGUCAGAACCAGUCAUUUUAAGGUGUAACGGCUUCUGCACUGAGCUCUACCCAUCCUGUUCAAGUUAAUGUUCUCACUUCAGGACCUCCGCAGCUCUGUCUGCGUCUCUUCCUAGCUAGUUCCGGUGUCUCCCUUAGACACCUCCUGUUAUGGUUGAGGUCUAAAACGUCCCUCCAAUGUUUUCUGUAUUUGGAAAGUAACUGGCUCAUGGGGGCUCUAUAGCUGACUUGCUGGUAGGAGAAGGGGCUGCUGCGAGGCGGGUCACUGCGGGGCAUGCCCUGAAAGGGUGUGUUCUUGUUUUGGGCUCCUCCCUUCUCUCUUUCUCUCUGCUUCCUGGCUGCCAUGGGUUGAGCACCUUUUCCUCCACCCUGCACUAUGCCAUUCUAUUUCUGCCUUGUAGCCAUCUGACCAUGGACUGAAACCAUGAGCCAAAAUCAACUCCUCCUUUAAGUUGUGGAUGUAAAGUAUUGGGUCCUAUGACAAAAAAAGUGAUUAAUACACCUCCUCAGAAAGGCCUUCCCAGAUGACCCAGUUGGAGAUUUUAACUUUUGUGGGUUUGCUUAUUUCCACAC